AGAAACACAGAUGGCUGCAGCCUCCGUUGUUCUCUGCACAUGGAUUAGUUCCAAAAACUUUGGUAACGCUUGUUGCUUUAAGGCCCAUCAAGUCUGGCAGCUGAUCAAUAAUAAUGUCUCUGCUAGCCCUUAUCUUAUGAACUCUUUCAAUGCUUCGCCUCUGCCAGUCAGUCCAGUAGAUGUAAUCACCCAGCAGCGUGAACCCAAAUAUAUGUGGAAGUUUAUCUUCUAAGAGGGUUUUCCUCAUUGUUCCAUCAACAUUUAUGACCUCAAUUUUAUCUGUUUUGGCAUCUCCCCAGUAAAGUUUGUCCUCUUCAAGAUCCAGUGCCAAGCCGUUAGGCCAACCCAGGGACGUAUUCACCAGAACUCUCCUCUCUGAUCCAUCCAAAUAAGCACAUUCUAUCUUUGGACUUUCACCCCAGUCUGUCCAAUACAUGUAGCCCAUCACAGGAUUGAGCACAAUUGCACGAGGUUCAUCCAGAUUUUCUGAUAUAAGGAUCUUUCUUGAUGUUCCAUUCAAACGGGUCACUUCAAUGCGGUC
rnacentral:lncRNA from 1 species